CAUGCAAAAAACGUUAGAAGGCGCUAUUGUGGAGAAUCAAGAGAAACCAAAGCAGGGACAAAAUUGAUUCAGUUUUUUAAGAUAAGCAGUAAGGUAAAGUACACAUCUGCUUGUUCAAAGAUUCUGAAUCAUAGAUGACGUGAAAUGCAAAAAAAAAAAGAAAAAAAAAGAAAUAUGAUCUAGGUGCAGCAAAAGCAGCUUUUUAGAUGUAGUCGAUAUUAAAAAAUGCUAGUUUAAUACAUGUGUAUGACAUUGGAUUAUCUUUAAAAAAAUAGUAAUAGGGCUGAAUUUUCGGUCAGUCAAUCAAGCUUGCAAAACACAGCACAUACAAUUUCAAAAUCAGACUAACCCAGGAGGGAAAGUUUCCUGAUAGCUGGUUGUAGGAAAAGUCUCUACACAAAAGAAAGCGUGUAAAUGUUAUAGAUAAACGCCUUCCUGGUUUUACUUCACAAAUGAAAGUGGACAAACAUACAAGUUUUUAAGAGAAGUUCCUAUAGAACUUGGAAGGCUUCCUGAAAGACUAUUAUUCCCGAGAAACCUGGGCAGACCAAAUUUGCGCAUUAACAAGAUUGAUGAUCAUUGUCAUCAGAACCUAGAAAUAAGUAUCAGAAGGCAAGAUAAACCAUACAAGAAGCUGAGUGAAUUCAGAUUCAGCAGAGCUUGUGGUACCUGGCCAGUGAUAUUGUUAAAACUCAAAUCCCUGUAACAGUAGAACAAAUGAGACUAGGAGAGAAAGGGGUCAUCAAACAAUGCAUAAUCCACAGCAGUUCAUUAAAGCAUCUAGCAAAACAUACAGUUGACUGGAGUUUAGGAAGAAACAAAAUGUCUUACAGUAGGGUUAAUGUUGCAAACUGUGAAAAGUUUACUGAUGCCAGGUUAUCAGAUAUCUUGCAGUUCCUCAAAACUCUGCAAUGAAACAUGUCAAGAGUUUUCAGAUUUAACAAUUGGUUACACUACAGAAAAUAUUAAGAUGUAGUUUGAGUCAUCAAAUGAAUGGCAAGUUAUGCAUACAAGGUGUUCAAAGAUGUCAUGUUACUGAUGAAUGCCAGUGAAGAACUUCCAUUUACUAUGUCACCUAUUCGUCUGCACCACAGGAAUAGAUAGUUCAUUCUUCCCAUCCGCAGGUCUUGAAAUUUAAGGAUGAUAGUACGUACUCUUUCCAUAAGUAGUCACUUACAAGCUUGUCAGUUCGACGAGAUUAGAAAGUGUGGUCGGAAGGGGACCUUGAAACGAAUUGCCUUGAAACCGCCUACAAAUUGAAAUUAUUGUUACAAUUUUUCAAGCAUCAUUUAUUUACCAAUGUGUUUACCUACCCUAGUAAAGAAACAAGAAAGAUGGGACUUCUUAGGUAAAACAAGAAAUUUAUAAUGAAAAGUAUUAGAAAAAAGUUCAAAGAUUACUAAUACGAGUACCCAAAACGUAGCAUCGUAUUAUAAUGAAUAGUGAAACAAAAAGAUUUAAUAUUUACUAAUAUGAUAAUAAUAGCUCACACCUGACCUAAAUAAAUUAGUUAAGAGGCCACUAAAUGGAAAUCAGUAGAGUAAAAGACACAUACACUUUUCUUUCGUUUUUUUUACUUGAACACACAGGAGAACUAUGUGUCAUUGCAUUAAGAAGACAAAAGUGCUGAAAAUUUAUAGCAGAUUUUUGAUCAUCACAUUCGCACCCUUGAAUAUGUGGAUACUACCCGACUACUUGACUCUAUGCUCUAGUUGCUACUAAAGCCACUAAGUCCUUAGCACUGACAAGACACCAUAGGUGAGCUUCUUUCUCAGGCUCUCAGCAACCUGUAAUAGGUGCUGGAGUGAAAGACCUAGACACUAAUCAGAAUGAACUCAUUUACAUAUGGCAACGAGUGAAGUAGGUAUAAAAUGAAUGUCCUACUUCAGUACCAACUUAAGUUCUGAUAAAAAUAAAGAUUGACUUGUGGAGAGCUAUAGCUUGUUGUAUCUAUACUAUUUGGGGUGAAAAAAAGGACCAAACAAUUAUGAAAAUGAAACAACAUAUGUUGCUAUUUUCAAUUAGGAAAUGAUUGCAAAUAAUGAAGAUUAAUUAAGAAAAAACUUACAGUUCUGUUAAAUUAGCCCAGUUCCCAAUAUAAUCUGGUAUUUGCCCAGUAAAAUCGUUAUCUGAUGCCCACCUGAACACAAAGAACAGUAACAAAUAGGAUUGAGUGGAAUGGAACAGUACAGUCAACAAAACAUCUCUUAUAUGCAUACAAUGUUUUCAUCUUGUAAGACUGGAUAGCGAUGAUGGUAAGGGACCACUUAAGCCAGCGCUGUCAAUAUACCUGCAAUUAAGAGAUGCAAAUAUAAGCAUAGAAAUAAGGAGCCGACUAAUUCAAGCAAACAAUUGUAGGAAAGAAAUAUAUAUAGUGCCCAAAACAAGUUAACACGCACAGUUGCUCAAGUUUAACCAAAUUCCCUAGUUCCAACGGAAGGGAAUCAUUUAAGUUGUUUGAGCUAAAGGACCUGAAACCCACCCAAAAAAAUAUAGGUUAAUCACAAAAAAUGAGAAAUAUCUAUUCCUAGAAGCAUAAUUACUGGCAGAAAGCUACAUUUCUAGACAGUGGUUAAUCAGUUGAAGGAAUGAAGAUGUUAAGUAGAGAUCUCUAACCUUUCCUAGUGAAAUACAGUGAUACAAGAUUAGUAAGGUUCCACAUUACAAAAAUUUAUUUCUUACAGCAUUACGAGAUUGGUAAGGUUCCCGAGCUCCUUUGGAACAGAUCCGGAUAAUGAAUUGAUGCUCAGAUUCCUGUGUAUUGAACAGAAUGAGAUGAUGUUUUGAUGUUAAGCAAAAAUAUGUAAUGUAAUAACGGUUUAAGAUUCAAAUCUCACAUGUACUGCAUAGCAGUCAAUUUCCCGAGGAACGACGGUAAAGGCCCUGUUAAGUAAUUUUGUCCUAAGUUCCUGAAACAACAUCAGAAAAGAUAUUAACAAAGAUUAAAGUUGGCUCAUCAUGUUUGAAUUUGAGUGUAAUGUUGGAAUAUGGUAUUUCCAGAAUAUUACAAUUAUGCUGAACCUCUAGAAUAUCUUCAUAAAGAAAUAGGUCAUAGGCAUCAGCUAUUUACAAAGUCCCCCAAAAACCACAAUCCACAAGUAAAAUCCUAUUGGACCCUUCAGGUACAAUGCAAGAAAGUUGAGAGUUCAUACAGAUUAGUCAAACGCGUGAGGUUCUGUAGUUCUGCUGGUAUCGCACCAACCGCAUUCAGCGCAUAUAUUUUCCUGCAAGCGAGAAAAGUCAAGUAAAUGGACCGUCAGCUCACACUAUCUCAAUUUAACCAUCAUCAUCGCUGUUCGUCAGAUAUAAACACCAGCAGGAGGCGUAUGGAGCACCGCUGAAUCCUCUAGCUAGCACUUUUCAGAUACAGAGGUAACAACGUACUAGCACAGCGAGGCGGACGCAUCGCAUACCCAAAGGCUCGGUACAAACAGCGAAACCUCCGGCAGGCCAUCCCUCGAACACCUGCCGUGCGGAGCGGCAACACGUGAGCUCUGAGUUGGCGACUUACAGCUUUGUGACGUGGCAGACGGUGUUGUUCUGGCCGGAGCACUCGCACUUGAUGGCCGGGUUGAAGUUCGGGUCUGUGUCGAUGUUGGUGUCGUCCGUGGCGGCGCCUGUGCAGGGGUCACCGCUGAUGUUCCAUGCCGACGCCGCCGUCUGGCCGAGCUUGGCGAACACCGCGUUCACCGCCGCCGCUGCAACGAUAUCGAAUUGAAACCGUGAUCAGAUUCACAUGUGACGGCGAAAAGGUAAGUCUACUACACCACCUAGCUUGGCCGUCUUUUAAUUUCUUCCAGGAGGAGGAACGUAUAAUUUUCAAGCGAAUGAGGAUGAAACAUCCUCACGUGAAAGCAGUUUAUACUUUCAUAGGAGUACAUGAGAUGGAACCUACAAUCCCCUAGGAAAGCUGAUCGAUCAGGAACGAACAGCUCAUGGAAAGCUCUUUUUUAAGAUAAAGGAAUGAUAUCCGGCCUUAACAUUCACAAGUGAAUAACAUUCAUGGAAAGCUCUUAUGUUUCAGGAAUAGGAAACGAGGUGGGCAUACCUUCAGUUGGAUCUGUCCUUGUUCUUGGUGCCGCUCGUCGAGCUCCGGCAGAUGCAACUAGAAGAAUCUGCAGCACGGAGAACACGAAACCUUGUAGACAAGAACUCGAUUUCAACCUCAUCUCCCUCCUGCAUCUGCUCCCGCUAGCUUGGGCGCCGUCGCACUACUAACGUCUCCUAGCCUCAUAAGAAGUUUGUUUGUUUUUCCACGCGCAAUAAAUUUGCAUCUGCCAUGAAAACAAUUGCACAUGAGUGGCUACAUACUUUUCAAAGCCUUCUCACACUCCUUCACAACUAAAUAAAGCUCGUGCCGACAUAUAUUAGCCCAGAUCAUUCAUGACUGUCACUGUCAUGUUCUAGAUUUACCCCGGAGAAUAAUGAAAUGUUUGCAAUGGACCAAUUCAAUUUAAUGUAGCGCGUGAGGUGGGGGAGCAAACUUUUCUAGCUUCACCAGCUCCUCCUCCAUAACUGUAGUGCAAUGUAUCUCAUCAUAGCGCGUGCUGAUCUGAAGGUGGAGGUGGGGGAGCAAAUUUUUCUAGCUUCACCGACUCUUGUUCUUCCUCAUUUCCUUUUUAGCUUCAAUAUGGGUUGACUCCUCGCUGCAGCACAGCACAACAGCUAUACAAGUAGCGUGAUAGAGGAGACACGAGCCGUGAGGGAGCAGUGCCAAAGGGUCAUACGGGUGUCUUCCUCUAUUUUCUUUGCAACAAUCGAUCGCAGCACAUAACCUAACACAAAAUAUGUGCAAAAGCUGAAUAUAUAUAUAUAUAUACGGAAUAAGCUAUUCGGUACCCGAGCCAUCCGUCGAACCAGCCUGCCCCCGUCACGCCGCUUGCCAGUUGCAGUUUUGCGCUCCGUUAUUUAUCUUUUGGGCUGCAUGUUCCAAAAAACUGCCUCGUAAUACAGCUGAGAUCGUGGGUUCGAAUGAAAUUGGCAGUUCUCCCGUGGAUCCUCCGCUCCAUAUCGACGGCACCGCCGCAAAAUCCCGCGAUUUGUUUGCUGGCGCCCUUGUAGCACUCACGCGCCGCGAAGCUCCUCCGUCGGUCAUCGUCGCCCUUCUGCCGCCUGCCUGCUUGAUUGCGCGAGCUCGACCGGCGGAUCCAGCGCCGGCUCUGCAUCUUGCAUCGGAGGAGCACCGUCAUGCGCGGGCUAUUGGCUUCGGUGCCGACCUCGCAUUCGCCGCUCGCUCCAUCGACGAUAUGCGCCGCCCCAACCUCUGCUCGUGUAGAGCAUGCCUAUCCCCCGGCCGAUUCGCAGCGUGGCUGGAGAAGGGAGCUCGAGGCCUCGAGCGCUGCCGCCCAUUCAUCUCCCGAGCCCAAGUGCCGACGACCGAUUUGAGCCUGUCCUUCGCCGAUUCGAGCCAGUCCGCACCGAUUCGUCGUCCUCCACAGGUGGUCCUCUCCUCCCCCGAGCGCGGCUGCCGCUGUGUGAGCUACACCCCCGCUCAAGCCCAUCUCUGCCCCCAAGCUUGACGCCGGUGUCGCUGCUGCCCACAGGCCCUCCGUCCCAAGGUCGUCAGGCUGGAGGUCCCGCAGGUCCACUGCGGAGCUCGCUCACGCAGGCCCAUGGCUGGAUCUCGCACGGAUCCGGCAAGGACUGGUCCGGCAGCUCCCUGCUACGACGUUCUUAUCGGGUGGCUUUUCAUUGGAGGCAGUGGUGAGGUCGUUGAACUCCUCAGUCCCCUUCCCCUUUCCUCGAUGUCACAGCUCGAUCUUUCAUUGUUCUGCAUACACGUGUGUGGUUCAGUGGACAAUUCGAUUGGUCAGAAAGUCAGAACCAUAUCUACAUCGUCGAUUUGAGUUGCUCCCUGAGAUUCUGCAUCAUGGGUCGGUGCCGGAGCUUGUAUUGUGAAUUUGUGAUCCAGAUUAUUGGAUUCUUGUUUCUGUAACCUGUAAAUGUCAAUUGAGCUUGAUAGAAUAUUUGGUUUGAGUUUCUAUUUUUCUAAGUCUGAACUAAUUGAUGAAAACCAGAUGUUCUACGAUGCUGCUAGUGUUAUAAUACAACCUAUAUGUUUUUCUUAGACAUGAAUACACUCUCGCUAGUCCAAUUGCAAUCCUCCAAUGAAAUCUCCCAGUAAUGUAGGAAUUAUAAUUGUUCUAUAUUAGUGUAGAAGAAACAGACAACUCUUGCCUUGCCUUGUUUGUUUGUUUUGUUGUUUUUUAUCUUGCAAGUGAAUCUUCGGUUCAUGGAUGCUGUUGCCAUUCGUUGAUCUCGCGAAUGACUUAUUAAAUUCUCAAACUCAUUUCUCUUCUGUAUGCCUGCAGAUUGAAGCCUUAGGGUCGAGGUAAGAGGCCAAGAGCAAUGAGCUCCGAGGGUGUACAAAGUAGCAGCUAGAAAAGGCUAUAUUUAAAAUACCACAUGUGCACUAUAUUUAAAAUAUUGCAUCGUAAUUUUAAGAAAAGGCUAUCACUAGUUGAUAAAUGGAAGAAACAGCUAGAAAACCAUUUAUAGCUCUAUUAUAUAUAUGUAAAAACUUACUAUACAGCAGAUUGAACAUAUUAAGUAAUAAGCUAUGAUCAGCACAAACAGAGUGCUUCAUUUCUGCAUAUUCUUUCACCAUAUGGCACAUACAAUGAUACAAAGAAUGAACUCUGGAGAUUCAGUUAAAUAUAGUGACAAUCCUAGCUGAAGAAAUCCUCUUUUAACUAGACAACACAUAAGCAGGAAACGUGGAUAUUGCUCACAUAGCAAAUGAAUGUUUAUAUACUGUAUUAACUAAUGCACUAAAACCUCAAGGACAUGUGGACAUGCCUAAUUUGAUCAAGCGGUUAUCAAGACACCAAUUUUAUGAAUAUAAUGUUAAAUAACAGAAGCAUAUUGUGGAAGAAAGGACCUUCUAGUUGAGCAGUCACAUAGUCAUGCCUGCCGAAGAUGCUUUGACCCUCUCUCCAAUCUGCACACACAGGGAAAUUAGUAAUGAAUAAUAGAGUAAUCAUGUGAAAAAAGAACUUCAUGAUGCUCACGUCACUAAAUUAGGUUCCUCAUUGCAAAUAACAUAUGUACUGGCAAAGACACCUAUGCUGAUGUACUCAUGAUCUGCACUGAGAAUUGAAAAAAAUAUUACUAAUUUUUCAGACUACACAGUACACACAAGUGCCAGAGAUAACUGAGAACAAAGAAAUCAAGUAUUGAAUGCAAAUGGCAAUCAAACUGACAUUUCGAAAAAAACAAAUAACCAGCGUGGGAGGGGCUCGGGUACGGAAUAGGGUAUUCCGUACCCUAGGUACCGAAUAGCGGAGGCAUAUAUAUAUAUAUAUAUAUAUAUAUAUAUAUAUAUAUAUAUAUAUAUAUAUAUAUAUAUAUAUAUAUAUAUAUAUAUAUAUAAAAUAUAUAUAUAUAUAUAUAUACUGAGAACGUUUGUGACGUGCAUUUACAGAAAACUGUCCGUCAACUUGCAAAUCACCGGCCUUCUUCUCGAUUACGGAGCUAGCUAAUGAACGGCGAAGAAGUGUGAGAUGAGGCGGCUAUCACAACCGAUUUUAAAAUAAAACCAAAUGCUACCUAUACAGGAUCUAGUUGCAUACAUAUAGCGACAUCAUUAGUGAAUAACAAUAACAGUAUCACAUAAAGGUAUAUAAAUAAUUCAUCUUCAAGUUUAUUAACCAUGUGAGGGUACAGGCCGCUCUUGACCGUGAGCACGACCGAUAUACUAAUUUUACACUCUAUAGAGGUUGUACACUUUCACCAUAAGUCGCGUAAAAGUUCAAGAGAACUUUAGACCCAACCAUGUUGUGCAAAAGUAGGCACUUAUCACACUACCGAGGUGUGACUGCAAAGAGACGCUACGAGGCCUUUACAAAUAUUCCCUAAUACGUGAUAACCCGUUAAGGUUUUGGUGUCUGGCGCACAUAAACCUCUCUAAUGGGCAUAGUGUUUUAGCAAAGCUCACUUCCCAAGUGGACCGGGCUAUACAACGACUCAGUCCCCCCUCUUGCCCUUUCGGUAAGAUUACCCCAACUAGAGUCCCCCCUUGCCCUUUCAGUAAGAUCACCCCAACUAGAGUCUCUAAUUAAUUAGCCAAGACCGAGCCAGAUAGAGUCUCUAAUUAAUUAGUCAAGACCAGAGUCAUAUAGUUCUUGUGGUUGCACUAUUUUUCUAGGUGGUCGCUCCAUGUCCAAUUAAUACAUGCAUGGUAUUCUUGUAAAUAAGCAAGACAGAAGGAUGGUUAGAAACUUUGAGAUAAACUAUUUGGAUCACUAAAGCACACAAAACUAUGCUUGAAAAGGAAAAGCUUGGUUAGAUUCAUGAAAGAAACAGGUCUGAGGUGGAACUGGAACUGGAAGAACUGGAAAGAUCUAAAGCUUUACAGAACACUAGAUCUUCAAAAGAGAUACUGAUCUAAAGCUAAUAAAGAACGGCUAUCAAACGAUUUUCAUUUAUGAGAGCACAAAAAACUAUAGACUAGGUUUAUUUUAAUUAGAAAACCUUUACAUUUCAGAAAGGAAAUACCCUCAGUUCGAAUUAAUGCAAAUUAUACUUUAUUUACAAAGAUCGAGGUAAAAACCUAUUCAAGUUUUAUUUAUAAAUGUUCAUGUAUAAAUUACACCAAUUACUCACUUAACUUUAGAAAAGCUAAUAUUUUAUGAUUCAAGUCGGUUAAAUGUUAUUGAAAACAUAUUUCCGUUCAUAUUAUUCAAGUUAAUAUUCAUUUACAUCAUCAAAAAUCAUAUAGGCGAGACGAGCGGCGUGACGUGUAACAAUGUAGGCAUGGUUCCAUGCAUGUUGGACGAAGCAACGGUGUGUGUGGUAUUAGCAUGAUGAAGCACAUAGAAUUCCUGUUCUGACGAGAAGGCAAAGCAGAGCGCUAUAUGGUAUUCGAGCUAAUCGCGAACAAACUGGACAUACCUUCAGUAGGAUCUGUCCUUGUCCUCUGUGCUUGCUGAGCUCCGGCAUGCAGAUACAAAGAGAUGAAGCAGUAGCACCAAGAGCACGAAGCCAUGGAGACAAGAGCUCGGUUUCAACCUCAGCUCUCUCCUCUCUGCUCUAGCUUGGUUUGGUGGGGAGAUAUAUUACACGAUGACCCAGCAUUUAGGAAUGGACAUUGUCUCAGCUGGGAAGGUAUCAAUGGGUGAUAUUGCUCCACCUCGAGUGUAGAGUGGGAGUGAACUUACACGUUCUAAAAUAUAAACUCUUGGUACGCCGCUGGAGAGGAGGCAUCGCUGGAGUCGCACUUCGCUUGUUGGGCACGCAUCACCCAUCUGCUCUGUAUGGGUCUCUUUGGCACAGCUCCUACCAGUAGCGCAUUAUAUCUCAUCGUAGCGCAUGCCGGAUCUGAAGACGAGGGAACAAUUUUUUCUAGCUUCACCGGCUCCUCCUCCAUAACUAUAGUGCAAUGUAGCUCAUCGUAGCAUGUACCGGAUCUGGAAGCGGGGGAGCAAAUUUUUCCAGCUUCACCGGCUCCUCCUCUUCCUUAGUUCCUUUUUAGCUUCAACCUGGGUUUUGACUCCUCGCUACAGUACAGCACAACAGCGAUACAAGUAGCGUGACAGAGGAGACAAGAGCCAUGAGAGAGCGGUGCAAAGGGGUAUGACCAAAGGGGUCAUACGGGUGUCUUCCUCUAUUUUCUUUGCGACGGGAAGAGGUAAACAUACGGGUGGGGGCAUCAAGCUAAGUGCACGAGAUUGUGCUCAGAGAAAAUCUUGCUGCUUCUUUUCGAUCAUAGAUCGGGUUGGCAUCGUCCUGUUGUUCUGUUGUAAAUCAUAUAUACAGAUCCAGAUAGACCAAACCCUCCAACAUCAUCAUUUGGUCAUGGACUCAAAAAUCAAACCAAAACUUGACCCGAAAAAGAAAAUCGAUCUAAGCCGGGCGAAGCAACAAUCGAUCACAGCACAUAACCUAACACAAAAUAUGUGUAAAAGCUGAAUAUAUAUCCUGAGAACGUUUGUGACGUGCAUUUACAGAAAACCGUCCGUCAACUUGCAAAUCACCGGCCUUCUUCUCGAUGACGGAGCUAGCUAAUGAACGGCGAAGAGGUGUGCGACGAGGCGCCCCUUGGGGCCAAGCUCGACUGCCCGCUCAUAUUGCUGCUCAUGAAGCUGCUGGUGUUGCCUCCCUUGAUCUGCCAUUUGGUAAUGUAACAACCAUGUCUUUCUCUCACCUUCCCUUCUCUCCCUCUAUAUUUUAAAAUAUCCUACGCAGCAUUAACAUGGCUGACUUAGGUAUUUCUUUAAAACAAGUAUAUUGGUGCCGUUUAACAGGUAGUCUUGUGCAUUGCCCGGUAACCUUUGAGAUGACUUUUUUUUCGAGAACAGGCAGGGAAGCUACGUAUCUUUAUAUUAAGAAAAAAACUAAUAGUUUUACGACGCGGACCAACCGGGCACACGCACACGGUCUGAUUUCUUCGUUGUCAAUUAUACAAGUAAAGAAACAGCCAGAAGAACACAUGAAAAAAACUAGGAAGCUAAGAGAGACCUAGGACUCCUACUGCAGCCGGCCAUCCCAAGGAGGCCAGAUGCUUAGCGCCGGCGUUGAUCCAGAGCUGAGCCUCUUCAAGGAUCACGCUUGACAAUUGUGCUGCUGUUUUGGCUAGGUUUCUGCUUAAAAACUCUGUCAUUUCUCUCUUUCCAGAUUUUCCAGGAGAUCAACAUGAAUGUGGAAUCCAUUCCUUUUUUCUUGAUUUUGUUCAUUCCCCGCCUCUUUUGUAGCCACCGAUCUAUUGCCGUCAUGUCAGGACUUGGCGCUUGCCUUUGCAAGUUCAGCAUUCUGCUAGCUGCUUGCCAGACCUCCUGUGUGUAACAACACCUAGCAAAAAUGUAGUCAGCUGUCUCCAAUUCUUGAUCACAAAGUGCACAUGCUGUGUGAUCUUGCAACCCAUGUCUUUGUCUCCUGUCUGCUGUCCACAAUCUAUCUCUGAUGGCAAGCCACAUGAAGAACUUCACUUUCAGUGGCGCCCAUGUCUUCCAGAUAGCGCUUGCUGCAGCAAAGUGCGUUGCCCCCUCGAAGAGCAAUCGGUAUGCGGACUUGGCUGUGUAUAUGCCCGAGGGAUCCCAUCUCCAAGAGAUGAUGUCCUCUAUUCCCGGCCGGAGCUGAAUCCCAUGGAUCGUGUGCCAAAGCUGCACAUACUGUGUUAGAGCAGUCACUGUUAAUCGUCCGGCAAUAUCGCGUAUCCAUUGCUUCUCCUGAAAUGCUUCAGCAACUGUCCUCCUUUUCGUAGUCCUUGGCCUGAUAAGCUUGCAAAAGAUCAGGCGCAAUGUCACAGGGUGAUGACGCUCCAUUCCAUCUGUCCUUCCAGAAGAGCGCUAGAUUGCCGUCCCCCAGUUGCACAUCGAUAGAAACGUGGAACAUCUGCUGAAGUAAGGAGUCAUCUCCAAACUCAAUCUGCAGGUGUUUCCUUGGCCUGUUUGCAUCAGUACAUUGUAGCCACAACCAUCUCAACCUUAGGGCAUAUGAAGCCAUUCUUAGAUCCUGUAGCCCCAGCCCUCCAAAUUUCACCGGCCUGCAGACACCAGUCCAGGCAACAAGACAUUGUCCACCAUGAGCUCUAUCCUUCCCUGCCCAUAGGAAACCCCGACGGCGCUUGUCGAUUUCCUGGAAGACCCAGUCUGGAAUUUUCAGUGAGAUGAUGGUGUGGAUGCAAAUGGCACUCAUGACAACCCUGACUGUUGUUAGUCUUCCAGCUUUAUUCAUCAGGGGUGCUCUCCAAGUCGGCAUACUGCUGGUCACCUUGUCCACCAGUGGCUGGAGGUGUGCUUUCCUUAGGCGACCUGUCAUCAGAGGUAGUCCAAGAUACUGUAUUGGAAACUCCGCUAUCUUUGAGACGACCUAAUAGAUAACUGUAAAGCAUGGCUUGUUGAGAUGCCGGUGGGCUAGUACCUUGGUGAUGAGCGAUUGACAACACGGUGUGCGUGUGACGUGUCUCUUGGCAGGUGUGGUUGCAGGUGACAGGUGGAGACGAGGUACAUGCGGCGACGAGUGAAGAACGGGGAUAGGAUGCCAUGCCGAUGAACCGUGGGACGGUGAAGGGUGGAUCAAGGCUCGCGUUCGAGGGACAGGCGAUCGUGCGGUGUAUGUCUACUGUACCUGGCUACACGGCGAGAGGACGUCAAGGGAGGUUUUCGGAUUACACCAUAAAAUCCGGGGUUCGCUGGUUGAGCCAUAAAGCCAUGCAUCGUACCGGGACGCUCGUGCGGCGAGCGUUGGCCGAAGAUGGAAAUUCCGGCGAUCGCGAUACGAUUUCGGAUGGUCGUGCGGCGACAUCGCGAGGAUCACAUCACGGAGAUGGAGGAAUCGCGGACAUCGCGGAAUUUGUCAUGGAGGACGUAACUGGAAUUUACGCACCUACGUUAAAUUUAUUUAGCGUAGGGGGUUAUGUGUAAAUAGGCCGUGCCACCCUAAGGAUAUAAAUACGUGGCACCUAGGGUUGAGAGAGUUGGAGCCCUUUUGCUACAGGCGGCGCUACAGUACUCGGCGCUACAGUAACUCGCGAUUACUGUUCAUCGCGAUUAUUGUUCAUCGCGGUUACUGUUCACGCGCGGUACUGUUCAUCGUCGCAGGUACUGUUCAUCUCUCUCUAGUCUAGCCUAGGGUUUCAAUCUAAGUGAGGGAUUUUUAUUGAUCUCUCCAAUUAAGAGAGGAAGGAUGUUUGGGCGGAGGCUAGAUGCACUUUUGUAAGCACAUUACUUGUCUCAAUUUUUCAUAUUAGUGAAUUAAUCUAUGUGCUUGUGCGUCAUGUUGUGCUGAGGUUAAGAUUGAUUUGAUCCAUCUAAAAUCAUGCUAGGGCAUCUUAUUAGAGCUUAAUCUAUUCUCGUCAUUGUCUGAUACAGUCUGCUUGUUCCUUUAAUAUCUCAAGAUCCGAAAGUCCGAUUGACAUGAUUCCAGUUGGGUUAGUUGCAUAAUUUUGUAUGGAUUUUUCUGUCAAAUUUUUAGGUUGAUCGGUCUUACGGAUUUUCGUCCAUAUCUUUUUUAUUAAGGAAACAGUAUUCUGUCCAGAUUUGAAAAACGUGAUUUAAUUAGGUUUUGAGAGGAAGGGGAAGUGUUAAACUUUAUUUUUUGAACUUGCGCCCAUUCACCCCCCCUCUGGUCGCCGUUUCGGUCCUUCACUUGUGUCUUUUACUUGUGUCAUAAGUAUAGAAAAAGAAAUAUUGUGUGAGUUGCAUGGAAAUAACAAACUCGUAUAAUGAUGAGAGCGUGUUUCAGGAGGGGAGAUUCCCCCUGCUGGUCUGCAUGGUCUGUUAAGUCUAUGUAUUCUUGGCUGUAGGCAUUCAUUCGUGGAUAACUAAGGCCGGAUGAUUUUAUCCUUAAUCUAAAAAAAUAAUGAUGAGAGCGUGGUUCUAUAAUCCUAAAUUUUUACAUUAUGAGUUGGUUGUUUCACGAACAGUCACUUCCUUCUCUCCCCUUCACAUCAUCGAAAAUCAUAUAUGGGGAGACGAGUGGCGUGGCGUGGCGUGUAACAAUGUAGGCAUGGUUCCAUGCAUGUUGGACGAAGCAACGGUGUGUAUGGUAUUAGCAUGAUGAAGCACAUAGAAUUCCUGUUCUGACGAGAAGGCAAAGCAGAGCGCUACAUGGUAUUCGAGCUAAUCGCGAACAAACUGGACAUGCCUUCAGUAGGAUCAGUCCUUGUCCUCUGUGCUUGCUGAGCUCCGGCAUGCAGAUACAAAGAGACGAAGCAGUAGCACCAAGAGCACGAAGUCAUGGAGACAAGUGCUCGGUUUCAACCUCAUCUCUCUCCUCUCUGCUCCAGCUUGGUUUGGUGGGAGAUAUAUUACACGAUGACCCAGCAUUUAGGAAUGGACAUGGUCUCAGCUGGGAACGUUACAAGAAGCAACAGUUCUACAAAGUACACUAAAGUCACGAAGAUGACGGAUGGUGACCCUGUUAGAAGAGUCAGAGCGGUUGCAAUCGUUGAGGCCUUACAGGUUUUUUGACCUAUUCCUGACGCUUCAAUAUGGAAUAUCUUUUUUUUUCCUUAGAUGCACAAUAGAUCUAUGCAACUGUCUUGAAGACGACUUGCUCAUGGUUGGCAUUAUACAUUUUUCAAAGAUUUAGAGCAGCUAAGCACGGGCCGACAGUCAGAUAUCUAGCUCAAAGCAUUCAAGAUUGUGAGAGAUGCAUUUCCCAGAAUGAGUUGUUUGCCAUGGACAAACUGUAGGAAUUCAGACCAGAUCAAGAUGGUAAUUAAGGUCACCUGCUUUCGACAUGGACAUACAAUAGUCGAGUAGUUCUAAAUUUUGCCUGCCUACUUAGCUUUAGUGUGAAGUGCGAGAACAGUUUCAUGCACGCAUUGAAAUCGCACCUAAAAUUUCCUCAAAAAGAAGAAGAAAAGUUGAACAGAAAAGAUCCACGCGAAGCGACCAUCAAGCACAGCACAUAACCUAACACGAUAUUAUGUAGCAUUUACACACAAAAAAUGUACUAAUAAUUUUGCUACAUCAAACAUUCUAACGUGACGUAAAUCUUGAAAACCAUAUAUGCACAUCCAAAUAGACAAGAGCCUCCAACAUCAUCACCAUUUGAUUAUGCAUACAAAAAUUGGACUGCAUACGAUUCAAAAUGGAACAAAAAAUUUGCCUAAAAAGAAAAUUGGGCCGAAAAAGAUCUACACGGAAGCAACAAUCGGACACAGCACACCACCUAACACAAUAUAUGUGCAAAAGCUGACAAUCCCGAGACUGUUUGUAACGUGAAUUUACAAGGAACAAUCCGUCGAUCGCUUGACCGAACUUGCUAGUCAUCACCGGCCUUCUUCGAUGACAGAGGUCAGGUAUGGAGACGAUGUGUCUGACGAGGCUGCCCUCCGUGCCAAGCUCGACUGCCCGCUGACAUUGCUGCUCAUGAAGCUACUUGUGUUGCCGCCCUUGAUCUGCCACUCAGUGAUGUAGCUGGGCUUGUUCACCACCUCACCCACCUCCACGUCUCCUGCCAGCAUCGACACAGCCCGGGACAUGGCCGGCCGCUGGUGGGGCGAGCCCUGGGUGCAGAGCAGGGCCACGUGGAUCGCACGGAGCACCUCGUCACUGUUGAAAUCAGCAAGCUUGGGGUCUAUCAUGUCCAGUGGGUGGUUUUCCUCGUACAGUUGCCAGACCUGAAAUCAUAGAGAGAAGAUAAGCUGCCAGGUUGGAGUAGCUUGUCUUCUUCAGGCAAAUUCACUAAUUCGGAUAUAUAAUAUGUCUGCCAUGUUAGUCAAAAGAAGGAAAUUAAAAUGUGAUCAACCUCUUGUACUGCAAUAACAUCCGUCAUGCUGGCAUGCUGAAAUUUAGCACACUACUAUAUUCAAGUAGGAUAUAAACCUAAGUAUAGCACAAUUAGCAUUUUAUUUAUAGUUUAGCAAUUUUGCUGAAAUUUAGCCCACUACUGUAUUCAAGUAGUGUAUAAACCUAAGCAUAGUACUAGAAUUUUGUUUACAGGUCAGCAAAUUCACGCAAUUUUUUCCUAACACAAUGAUGUGGCAAACAGUGAUGUAAUGAAGGCUUGUGAACUCCAUUAUAAAUUCCUAGCAUAAACUUUACAGACGAUUUGACCAAUAGUACGGAAACUAGAGUGCAACAAUGCCUUGCCUCAAGUUUAGAGUUCAGAGUGAACUUACCCAUUCUAAAAUAUAAACCUUAUCUUCAUCAAGUGUAUUGUCAAAGUUUGGCCUUCCAGCUAAAGUCUCCAAAACAACCACGCCAAAUGCAAACACAUCAACUUUCUCCGUCAUAUGACCUCUCAUGGCAUACUCAGGUGCAAGAUAACCACUUCACAGAAUAUUUACAAGAAGUUUUAUAUUAGCUCACAUGUGAAAAAUACUAACAUAAAGGGGGAAAGAUAGAAAUGUACUUACAAUGUACCAGCAACUUUUGUGCUGACAUGUGUCUUCUUGUCAUCAUAAAGUUUGGCGAGCCCAAAAUCAGAGAUCUUAGGGUUAAGAUUGGUGUCAAGUAAGACAUUACUAGCCUUUAUGUCCCGAUGCACGACACGGAUGGCAGACUCUUCAUGGAGGUAGGCAAGACCUCUUGCAAUGCCCAAGCAUAUCUCAAAGCGUGUUUGCCAGUCCAAGUUCAGUCUCCCACUACCUGCAAAUAAGUGUUUAUUUUUUAAUGUCCAUGUAACAAAUGUGAACCCCCCCCCCCCCCCACACACACACACACGCGCGCGCAAAUACACACAUUCAUAGUUGCACUAAUUGAAUGAACUCGUACCAAACAGUGCUUUAUCAAGGCUUCCAUUCUCCAGGUACUCAUAAACCAACAGCGGUUUAUUGCCCUCAAGGCAGCAACCAUACAACUUAACGAGAUUCUUGUGUUGCACUCGAGAAAUAGUUUCUAUUUCAGUUGCAAAUUCCUUUUUUCCCUGAUUAGAUGUUUCAGAUAGCUGUUUCACAGCCACCACCCUUCCAUCAGUUAAUUUACCCUGCAAGAAGAUGCCAUUUUAUCAACCAUGUGCAGAAACUAGAAAAUAAACUGGAAAACAAUAGAAAAAAGGGAAUGUAGUGGGGAAUGACCCCACUGGUGUGUGUGUAUUAAUAUUAUAUUAGUGAAAAUAAAUUAAAGGAGUUCACAGCACCCAAAAUAUUGUUGAGCUAACAAAGCUAGCUGAUUUUCCAUAACAAAACACACAGAUGGGAACAUCCUUUAGCUUUGCGCAACUUAGAAAAGCUACUUUUAGAAGGAAAUUUGAUGGCAGAUUCAUAUCCUUGUGUACUUCUGAUGGACUAACCUUAUAAACUGAUCCGUAUCCCCCUUCGCCAAGAAGGUUAUUUGAACUGAAAUUUUCAGUAGCGGUCCUUAGUUCACCAUAACUGAGUACGUUAGGUCUUCCAACAAUACUGUACAGCUCUACAAACAUAGCCAAAAGACGACUUCAGAAAUAUGGCCCUUAUCUUGGUUAAGAUUUAAGAAUACAUUGUGAUACUUGAUUAUGGAUGUACCUUGUUGCUCCAAUGCUAGUUUCCUCCUUUUCUGCCUCCACAUACAAAGUCCAGCAAGUGCUACUAGUACCAAAACUGCUGCACCAAUCACAACUCCAACAACUAUACCGGUUUUGUUACUACUAUUCUUCUGUGCAGCGCUACGCACUGUAGGUUUGAAAUCUGUCAGAAAGUGCACUUGUUAGAAAAAUGUGAUCUAACAGCUGAACCAGUACACUUUAACUUACCCUGUUUAGGAGUUUUUCAAUAUUUACUAGUUUUUGUUUGAAGAGAGCGAAUUAUGUAUCCCAGGGUUCUAGCGCUCCCACAAACAAACACAACAUGUUGUAAUGUUUCAAAAAUCUAAAAAAAAUCAUGUAUUUAGCACACAUUAAAUUAAAUAAACCUGCAGAAAUUCAAUGUCAAAUUCAUUCUACAUGUCAGGGAAAAAUACAACUUGUGUUUUUUGAAUCUUGUUAUCAGAGAUGAAUUUAAAAUUGGAUUAUCAUAGUUUCACUAAUGGGGAUCAGAAUCAGAACCCCUGGUAACAAAUGAAUUUCCUUUAUCAGAAAGUGCGCAUGAGAACAUUCAGCAGAAAUCAGAAUGGAUAUGUACCACUAGACAUAAGUAUAUGUGUAUGCAUUCCUUCAAUCAUAAGCAUUUCUCAAAGUAGAAAUUAUAUAUGCAUCUUUUUACCCCAAGAAAAUUGUUUAAAAAGUAUUAAAACAAUGAUUUGUAGCUAAGGGGAGUACUUGGAGUUGCACUCAAAGCUGAAAUCGCAGGCCCAUAGUAGCCUUGACUAGGGAUGCAACAAGUGCCCUUGCCAGCCCAGAAAAGAUGAAUCUCAAGGAAGUUUCUGGUGACAGGAACAGUAUACUGCUUCUUGACAGCAGUGUAAGAUUUCCCGCCUGCUUCCUUUCUUAUGUCAAAGUUCUGCUCCUUACGCUCACCCUGUACCAAAAGCAAGAAAAAAACAAUUAGAAAAUUUCAAUCAGCCCAUAAGCUAAAGACUCAAGUAAGUGUAAGUUAUCAGAAUGACUGGAACCUACCUGAACAUAGAUAUCAAAAACCCUUUUACCUAAACUCUUCCAAGUCUGCAUGUCUUCGAAGUCAAACUCUGCAAAUUGAAGUGUGACUGUAUAGUUUCCAUUCUCAAGUCCAAUGCCAUAGUAGCGUAAUGAUGAUGGAGACAUCCUUGCUGUCUGGAACAGUUCUGAAUCUAGAGUUUUCUGAAACUGGCGUGAGCUGUAGAUUAUGUAACUUCCAUUUUGUGCAUCCAUGAACUUCCCAACAUUGCUAACACCCCAUGUUGGUGCUCCUGUAACAUAAUAGGAAGCAGGUCCCAGAUCGGCGUUGUCAGUCUGAUACAUGGAAUUAUCUGAGCCUGAUAUAGAUCUAUUGCUCCCACAGUCCACAGCAAAGGAGGAAGCUGCAAGCAUGUUAAAUUAUUUAAUACUGAUGUUAUUUAGCGUAUCCUUAAAGUGCAGAAGUGGAAGCUCACAUUGUGGAGAGCCAAGAAAGCAGGGUGUGUCUCGCUGAAGGCAUCCUAGCCCCGAAGGUAAGGCACUGAAGAUGUCAAACAUUGUCAAUUUGAAUCCAAAAUAUGAGCUGAGGCCUGAGAGAACAUAAAAAUUGUACUUGAAGACUUUAAUGAUCUAUUUGAAUACAAACUGACCUGUUAUUGGAGUUGUUGAUUACGAAAUUGUUCGCCACCAAAUUCCUAUGUAGAAUGAAACAUGUGAAAAAAAGUUAGAAGGCACUAUUGCGGAGAAUCAAGAGAAACCAAAGCAGGGACAAAAUUGAUUCAGUUUUAUAAGAUAAGCAGUAAGGUAAAGUACACAUCUGCUUGUUCAAAGAUUUUAAAUCAUAGAUGACGUCAAAUGCAAAAAAAAGAAAAAAAAGAAAAAAUAAAUAUGAUCUAGGUGCAGCAAAAGCAGCUUUUUAGAUGUAGUCGAUAUUAAAAAAUGCUA
rnacentral:lncRNA from 1 species